rnacentral:rRNA from 1 species
AGGAAAAGAAACCAACAGGGAUUGCCCCAGUAGCGGCGAGUGAAGCGGCAAGAGCUCAGAUUUGAAAUCGUGUUUCGGCACGAGUUGUAGAGUGUAGGCGGGAGUCUCUGUGGAGCGCGGUGUCCAAGUCCCUUGGAACAGGGUGCCUGAGAGGGUGAGAGCCCCGUAGGGUGCUGCGCGAAGCUUUUGAGGCCCUGCUGACGAGUCGAGUUGUUUGGGAAUGCAGCUCCAAGCGGGUGGUAAAUUCCAUCUAAGGCUAAAUAUUGGCGAGAGACCGAUAGCGAACAAGUACUGUGAAGGAAAGAUGAAAAGCACUUUGAAAAGAGAGUGAAACAGCACGUGAAAUUGUUGAAAGGGAAGGGUAUUGGGCUCGACAUGGGGGGUGCGCACCGCUGUCUCUUGUAGGCGGCGCUCUGGGCGCCCUCUGGGCCAGCAUCGGUUCCUGCUGCGGGAGAAGGGGCUCCGGAAAGUGGCUCUUCGGAGUGUUAUAGCCGGGGCCAGAUGCCGCG